GCUUUAAUACAUGCAAGUCGAGCGAGAAAGUUUCUUCGGAAAUUAGUAAAGCGGCGAACGGGUGAGUAACGCGUAGGAAUCUACCAUUCAGCGGGGGAUAGCUCGAGGAAACUCGAAUUAAUACCGCAUACACCCUACGGGGGAAAGAAGGCCUAUCCUUGGAAGCUUUCACUGUUUGAUGAGCCUGCGUGAGAUUAGUUUGUUGGUGAGGUAAUGGCUCACCAAGACUACGAUCUCUAGCUGGUCUGAGAGGACGAUCAGCCACACUGGGACUGAGACACGGCCCAGACUCCUACGGGAGGCAGCAGUAGAGAAUAUUGGACAAUGGGGGCAACCCUGAUCCAGGCAUGCCGCGUGUGUGAAGAAGGCCUUAGGGUUGUAAAGCACUUUAGGUAAGGAAGAAAAGUUAAUAGUUAAUACCUGUUGACCGUGACAUUACUUACAGAAUAAGGACCGGCUAACUCCGUGCCAGCAGCCGCGGUAAUACGGAGGGUCCAAGCGUUAAUCGGAAUUACUGGGCGUAAAGCGCGCGUAGGCGGUAUGCUAAGUUGGGUGUGAAAUCCCCGGGCUUAACCUGGGAACUGCAUUCAAAACUUGCAUACUGGAGUACGGAAGAGGCGAGUAGAAUUCAUGGUGUAGCGGUGAAAUGCGUAGAUAUCAUGAGGAAUACCAAUGGCGAAGGCAACUCGCUGGUCCGUAACUGACGCUGAGGUGCGAAAGCGUGGGUAGCAAACAGGAUUAGAUACCCUGGUAGUCCACGCCGUAAACGAUGAGAACUAGCCGUUGGAUCCUUGAGAUUCAGUGGCACAGCUAACGCAUUAAGUU
rnacentral:rRNA from 1 species